rnacentral:rRNA from 1 species
AUUGAACGCUGGCGGCAGGCCUAACACAUGCAAGUCGAACGAGUGGCGGACGGGUGAGUAAUGUCUGGGAAACUGCCUGAUGGAGGGGGAUAACUACUGGAAACGGUAGCUAAUACCGCAUACCAUCAGACGUGCCCAGAUGGGAUUAGCUAGUAGGUGGGGUAACGGCUCACCUAGGCGAUGAUCCCUAGCUGGUCUGAGAGGAUGACCAGCCACACUGGAACUGAGAAACGGUCCAGACUCCUACGGGAUGCAGCAGUGGGGAAUAUUGCACAAUGGGCGCAAGCCUGAUGCAGCCAUGCCGCGUGUAUGAAGAAGGCCUUCGGGUUGUAAAGUACUUUCAGCGGGGAGGCGUUAACCGCAGAAGAAGCACCGGCUAACUCCGUGCCAGCAGCCGCGGUAAUUC